CAACAAGGGAAGACGCUGGAGAUUAUGAGUUGGAAAUAUAUUCAUCUGCCAGUCGUGAACGUUUACAGAGAGUCAACAUAAGUCUAGAAAUAAUAGAACCAGUGUCAGAUCCAAAUGUGUCUCAGACGUGUUUGUCACCAGAACAGAUGAACAUCAGCUGUUCAGCUGAAGGAGAUGGAGUGAAGUUCACUUUAUCUCUAGACGACAACGAACUGAUGCAGACCAGAGAGGGAAGUACAGGAAAACUAAAUGUUUCAAACGUUAGUUUCAUCUUACACGGUCAACUGGUAGGAAAGCUGGUGUGUCGGGUUCAGAACGAUGUCAGCAGUGAACAGACGUCCAUCCAGCUUACAAGCUGUAACGUUGCAAGUUGUACCCUUAUUCUUGUGACCGUAGCCGUGGCAGCAGGUCUGGUUUCUCUGCUUGUGGUUUCAGCUCUUUUUCUUGGUAUCAAGCACUUCAAAAGGAGAACAAACCAACCAAGAAGUGUGAAAGAAGG